ensembl:lncRNA
GUAAACUCAGUCUCUUGUGACAGAGGCCAGCGCUCACGAGAGAUGUGGUGCUGGGUGACGAGGUUACAGUAGAUGACAUGAUCAGAAACUAUGGAUGGCCAUAACGUGUUACAAGACAAGAUAUAAUGCACAUUCACGAGGAGGUCUAUGGACAAUCAGUCAUGUUUGACAUGCGGACAUGCCUUUAAUGUAGGUUACUGGCAUGUUGCAGAAAGAUUGAUUGUGUGAACUUUCCACACUUUCUUUCUGCCUGACAAGGCAGCCUACGUUGUCCCCUGUGAUUUACAACUCUCACACACACAUGCUUCCUCAGAGGAUGAAUGGAAAUCAGACUCAGAGUGUCCAGGGGACUGUGUUAAAUCAUCCAUUCACUGUCUCAGGGUGUCCAGGGGACCGUGUUAAAUCAUCCAUUCACCGUCUCAGGGUGUCCAGGGGACUGUGUUAAAUCAUCCAUUCACUGUCUCAGGGUGUCCAGGGGACUGUGUUAAAUCUUCCAUUCACUGUCUCAGAGUGUCCAGGGGACCGUGUUAAAUCAUCCAUUCACUGUCUCAGGGUGUCCAGGGGACUGUGUUAAAUCAUCCAUUCACCGUCUCAGGGUGUCCAGGGGACCGUGUUAAAUCAUCCAUUCACUGUCUCAGGGUGUCCAGGGGACUGUGUUAAAUCAUCCAUUCACUGUCUCAGGGUGUCCAGGGGACUGUGUUAAAUCAUCCAUUCACUGUCUCAGGGUGUCCAGGGGACCGUGUUAAAUCAUCCAUUCACCGUCUCAGGGUGUCCAGGGGACUGUGUUAAAUCAUCCAUUCAUUGUCUCAAGAUGUCCAGGGGACCGUGUUAAAUCAUCCAUUCACCGUCUCAGGGUGUCCAGGGGACCGUGUUAAAUCAUCCAUUCACUGUCUCAGGGUGUCCAGGGGACUGUGUUAAAUCAUCCAUUCACUGUCUCAGGGAGUCCAGGGGACCGUGUUAAAUCAUCCAUUCACUGUCUCAGGGUGUCCAGGGGACUGUGUUAAAUCAUCCAUUCACUGUCUCAGAGUGUCCAGGGGACCGUGUUAAAUCAUCCAUUCACUGUCUCAGGGUGUGCAGAGGACCAUGUUCAGACACCAAAUGGAAAAACUACUACCUGUACUCCAAUAGGAAUGAUCAAAUGGAGUGAGCGCUGAUCAUGUACGCUGAUCCCCUGUUUUAGCCAAUAGGAAUGGAUUAUUUGUCUGAUUUAUCAGUAGCCCUUCCAAUCAUAUGGGCUGGGAGGAGGCCUGGCCAGAGAGGGACUCCAGUGGAUAAUGGGAUGAGGGCGCAAUGAGAAUGAUUGUCUCCGCUGCGUCAUUAGUAGGGCUGUGACGAUACCCUUUUGCAUUAUUCUGUAGAGAUUAUGUAUCUCUGUAUCUCUCUUUCUCUCUCUCUCUCUUUCUUUCUUUCUCACGCUCUCUCUGACAGUACAUCAGAAGCCUGUUAAGGCCCUGUGAGUCACUGCAGUGGGUAGACUGAUGUUCCUGCUGUGGCAAAGGGCUCUCU